UUUCUAAUCACCAGAGAGGUGAGACUUCAGGAAGGCUUUUCACUAGUGAGGUGUAGAAUAAAAAAGGAGAAGGGGAAGGCAAAAUAUCCAACUAGUUUUGGAGAAAUCCUGUUGAGAACAAGGAGGUCUGGUGUAGAAUCUGAGACACUGGGAAACAAGACCCACUGACAGGAAUUCCCCUCCAUAGGAUUAAGAAACAGUUAAUUUGGCUUGACUUCUGGAGCUGUUGAAGAACAGAAUAUAAUCUUUACCACUGAUUCAAGAUUAAGGCUGAAUAAAAAAUAAAAAAUGAUUAGCCAAAUUUAGCCUUGUAGGAAUGUCCCAACUGAAAAUACAGACAGCAGAGCAUGGCAGAAUAGUCAACACAUUUGAACUCUACUCAACCACAACUGUUUCAGAACAUGUUACAAGGCCAGUGUUAUCAGAGAGCUUCCUUCAGCAUCCAGCUCAUGUCGAAAAUGAUUUCUUUUUUGGCAGUAGGAGCAUCAGAAAGAGGUGGGAGGAGAUGAGUAAUUUUUUCACAAUACUUUCUAAUUUUCUAUAAAAUACUUCCUUCCCCCUUUUCCAUUCGAAUAAAACAGUUUUUUCUUAAUUUAUUUUACAUUACACACUGUCUGACCAGUAGGGGUGCAAAAUACCUAAGAAAAAUUCUGAUGGCUUUGGUAAUGUUAUGUAUCUGGCAUAGAUUUCUUCUGGACAAAGCUGUUCAUCGAUGGAAGAAUGGAUUUACCUACUGAGAAGCUGAUAAUUGUAACAUAAAGCCAAGAUUUGAUCA